rnacentral:rRNA from 1 species
UACAGAGGGGGCAAGCGUUGUUCGGAAUUACUGGGCGUAAAGGGCGCGUAGGCGGCCUGUUAAGUCGAACGUGAAAUCCCCGGGCUCAACCCGGGAACUGCGUCCGAUACUGGCAGGCUUGAAUUCGGGAGAGGGAUGUGGAAUUCCAGGUGUAGCGGUGAAAUGCGUAGAUAUCUGAAGGAACACCGGUGGCGAAGGCGGCAUCCUGGACCGAUAUUGACGCUGAUGCGCGAAAGCCAGGGGAGCAAACGGG